GACAGAUUGCAACUGAUAAGUUGUUAGAAUGCGCUAGGAGGAACGCUCAGCCUGUAUCAUUGGCCUGCAGCGAGGGUGGAGAGAGAAAAUGGUGCAAAUAAUAAAGAUAAUCAUCUAUACCAGGAAAAUUACCACAUGUUUAUUUCAGGCCCCAGGCCCCUAGUGUCAUGACCUGAGCCAAAGGCAGCAGACUUUUGAACCGACUGAGCCACCCAGGCGCCCUGAGAGAGGAAUUUUUCAAAGAGAAGUGGAAUACCAAGCCAUCCAAAAGGCUGCAGCAAAGCGAUGGGGGCCAGGAGAGGCCCCAUUUUUUGGAGGAGCAGAAAACCAAGAGGGGAGAAGGCAUGCUGUAAUAUUAAAGAAACAAGGAAGGUAACACCAAUGAGCAGGUAGCUGGUCUUUGAAAUUCCUUAAAGAAGAGAUUGAACGUCUUAUGUCACAUGACUGCUCUGCAUUCUGCUGGCAACCGAGCUGGAAAAAUAAUGGAAGGACAGACACACUCAUAGAGGCAAACAAAGGUGGGAAUGUCCCAGCUACAAAACAGAACAGAUGAUCAAGCAGCCAGGGAAGAGCCAAGAUGAGAUGGCAUUCUUCUUAACAAACAACCACGGCCCCGCCCCCCAGCCCCAAACUCAUUAGUAGCUCAAUAGUC